rnacentral:rRNA from 1 species
AGCGAACGCUGGCGGCAGGCUUAACACAUGCAAGUCGAGCGGAUGUAGCAAUACAUCAGCGGCAGACGGGUGAGUAACGCGUGGGAACAUACCUUUUGGUUCGGAACAACACAGGGAAACUUGUGCUAAUACCGGAUAAGCCCUUACGGGGAAAGAUUUAUCGCCGAAAGAUUGGCCCGCGUCUGAUUAGCUAGUUGGUGAGGUAACGGCUCACCAAGGCGACGAUCAGUAGCUGGUCUGAGAGGAUGAUCAGCCACAUUGGGACUGAGACACGGCCCAAACUCCUACGGGAGGCAGCAGUGGGGAAUAUUGGACAAUGGGCGCAAGCCUGAUCCAGCCAUGCCGCGUGAGUGAUGAAGGCCCUAGGGUUGUAAAGCUCUUUUGUGCGGGAAGAUAAUCCGGU